rfam:Homo sapiens chromosome 22, GRCh38 reference primary assembly.
GCUGGGCGUGGUGGCGUGUGCCUGUAGUCCCAGCUACUCAGGAAGCUGAGGCAGGAGAAUCGCUUGAACCAGGCAGUUGGAGGUUGCAGUGAGCCAAGAUGGCACCACUGCACUCCAGCCUGGUGACAGAGCGAGACUCUGUCUCAA